UGCGCCGGGGAGGGCUACCAUAAAGCGAAGAUCCAGAUCCUUUGUGAGACACGAGAUGAACUGAUUGCAGCCUUGAAGAAAAAGCACAUGGCCAUCCCCAUGAUUUUGAACUCAAAGUUCGAG